ACGAGGGGGGCUAGCGUUGUUCGGAUUUACUGGGCGUAAAGGGCGCGUAGGCGGCCACCGCAAGUCAGUUGUGAAAUCUCUGGGCUUAACCCAGAAAGGUCAACUGAUACUGCGGGGCUAGAGUGCAGAAGGGGCAACUGGAAUUCUCGGUGUAGCGGUGAAAUGCGUAGAUAUCGAGAGGAACACCUGCGGCGAAGGCGGGUUGCUGGGCUGACACUGACGCUGAGGAGCGAAAGCGUGGGGAGCGAACAGGA
rnacentral:rRNA from 1 species